GUAGGGUGCGAGCGUUGUCCGGAAUUAUUGGGCGUAAAGGGCUCGUAGGCGGUUUGUCGCGUCGGGAGUGAAAACACUGGGCUUAACUCAGUGCUUGCUUCCGAUACGGGCAGACUAGAGGUAUGCAGGGGAGAACGGAAUUCCUGGUGUAGCGGUGAAAUGCGCAGAUAUCAGGAGGAACACCGGUGGCGAAGGCGGUUCUCUGGGCAUUACCUGACGCUGAGGAGCGAAAGUGUGGGGAGCGAACAGGAUUAGAUACCCUGGUAGUCCACACCGUAAACGUUGGGCGCUAGGUGUGGGGUCCAUUCCACGGAUUCCGUGCCGCAGCUAACGCAUUAAGCGCCCCGCCUGGGGAGUACGGCCGCAAGGCUA
rnacentral:rRNA from 1 species